GAAGCGGGAAGAGCCCAGCACCGAAUCCCGCAGCCUUGCGCUGCAGGGAAUUGUGGUGUUUAGGACGUCUAUUGCUGCAGCGUUCGGGUGCCCAAGUCCUCCUGAUCGGGGCUUCAUCCAGAGCGGGUGUCAGGCCUUUACUGGCACUCGACGCAGUGGCUCAGAACGUCCUUGGAGUCGGGUUGUUUGAGAAUGCAGCCCAAAGCGGGUGGUAAACUCCAUCUAAG
rnacentral:rRNA from 1 species